GUCCACCGAUGGUUUUGCGCUUCCCCUCGUCAUCGUCCGCCGCCCGAUGCCGUGUUCGUGAUGUACGGCGAUUUCGCACCGGAGAAAGCCACACGAGCCUUUCUCGGUUCGCCGCCGUCAUUCUCUCUUCUCUCUCGUCCUAUACCUCGCCUAAUCUUUGGUGGGAAGCCUGCCUCCGAGAUGAAACCCUAGCCCGCGGUCUCUUUCGUCCUCUGACAUUUCGCUCCAAUCGCCGCAGUUCAAGUACGUCGUAGCUACGGUUCGAAUGGCGUGGAAAGAUUCGACCUCCUGUUGCUUUCUUGGUUGAAUUUUUUCGCAGUUCCAGGAGUGCAAAAAGGCGGUUUCGAGGAGCAGCAUGGGGAUGAUUUAGGUUCCCAAUUCGAAGAUAUCAUCGAUCACAUGUGGCAAGUGUGAUUUCCAUUGCUCUCAAUUGAUGAGGGAAGUUAUCAUUUACGGUCUGGACCUGGGCAGUCGGCAGUGAUAUCCUCCGAGAUAAAAACCUUAAGCUCCCGAGGUGUCAAUUGAAGACCGAGGUUGGAAGAGAUUUUGGUACUAGUGCGGACGUCGAUAGUCAAAAUGGGUGGAGGGUGGCUUUGUCUUCUCUUUUCAUCCUAGACAUCACUCGACGGUUGUGUAUCAGAUGACUAUUGGCUGACGACGUACUCCCUAUCACCAAUCAUGCUUUAUCAAGUUCUUGGAUAGUUUUUUGACCUUUAUCUUAUUUUUCGGUAGAUUCUUGAACUCCUAAACAUGAUGCAUUAUGUAUUCUACUAGUUGCUUCUUUACCUUGCUUGGAAGUACAAAAACAUUUCGUUGCUUGCUGAGUUUGUGGUAUUUAUAUCACUCCCCCCCCUUUAGGAGUACUUGUAACUUAGCUCUAUUUGAGGAAGACUUGGUAAACUCUAUGCAGAUAGAAGGCCAUUUUACAUAAGAAGCUUGUUUAGAGUGGUGUAUUCAUGGCAUAAUGGCUGGUGAGCAAAUGACUCGUGUAACAUGAUCAACUCUGCAAGCAAUGAGGUGCAUUAACCACAUUUGCAAAUAUCACAAAAAGAUCAAGGAAUUGCAAGGAGUUGAGGAGCAUCUGAAAAAUCAAUAGAAACUAUUAGGUGCAUUAACCACAUUUGCAAAUAUCACAAAAAGAUCAAGGAAUUGCAAGGAGUUGAGGAGCAUCUGAAAAAUCAAUAGAAACUAUUAGGUGCAUUAACCACAUUUGCAAAUAUCACAAAAAGAUCAAGGAAUUGCAAGGAGUUGAGGAGCAUCUGAAAAAUCAAUAGAAACUAUUAGUCUUGCAUUAAGGGUGGUUGAUGUUAUGAUAAUGUUUGGGGUUCAUUCUGCUCAAGUUACUGGGCCAAUGGGCACAUAAACUCAUAGCUUGUGCAGGCCAUCCAUGAACAAACAUCUGACCGCACAAGGUUGUUGAAUUAUCUGCAGAUGGCCGAUGAUGAUUGGCAAUUAAGAUGUCUGCAGACUGGUUCCAAGGGCAAACACUUGGAGCUGAUAUUACUCUUACAAUCAAUGGGCUAUGGGCUAUGGGAGGGGAGGACAUGACUAGGCGAGGACAGAUUUGACAUCGAAGACCUUCAAGAGAAGUAUCAAAUCUCAGCCAUGCGUGGCCUCAGAGUUCCGCCAUCAACACACCACAUUAUGCUGGCUCGUUAUUAUCGAUCACCAGCAAUUUUUCCACCGGUCUGUUCAAAUCAGUAGCGACGACCGCGGGUUGAUUUAAAAUGUGGUCAAGUCCAACUCGCACGCAUGGAAAAAGGGAAGAGAGAGAGAGUGAGAGAGAGUCCAUGAUCAACGUGGAAUACUGGUCGGAGGGCAUUUAUCACGGACAUGUCGUUGUCCGAUCCCUUGUUGGUUUUGGAUGGAUGAGAAGCGUGAGUUGUGAGUGUAGAAGGCUUCUCAUCUACAUACCUUUUGGAUCCACUUUCUUAGGAGUACAAUGGUGAAGUGACGAUGAAGAUAAUGCAAUGCGUGUCAUGAGCUUGGGUAUUAAGAUAAUUUUGAAUGCUUAAUUAAGUUUGACCUCUAUGGUUCUCAUCA